rnacentral:tRNA from 1 species
GGGGAAUUGGUGAAGUGGUAUCACAAGGGCCUCCAAAUCCCUUGUCGGGGGUUCGAUUCCCUCAUUCCCCG